rnacentral:misc_RNA from 1 species
AGCGUAAAAAUUUCAUCACACCUUGUGAGUUGAGUUGAGUAUACAAAUUUGUUAAUGUGGUAUGCUCUAUAACAGGAUUGGGGAUUAGAAACUGUUUAAACAUUAAUUGCAAGGUAAACAAUCUUGAAAGAUGCAUAUAUCUGAGCUGUAAAUUUAUUCUCAAAACAAUUUGGAAAUAUGUGCCUUGUGGGAAGUGAGUGGCUUCAAGCAAUAGGACAAUAAAACUGUAGAUAGACCAAAAGCAAUGUGGAUGAAAGCAGUAAAAAUGAUUUAAUAUCAAAUAAGUUAAAAGAGAGAAGAGUAACUUAUUUUAAGCAUAUUUUAGAGCGCCUUAAAAUCUCUCAUUUGACCCCUUAUGCUCUUUUUUCUUUCCAUUCCUUUUUUAUCAUUUCUUCAAGAGAAUGGAAUUAUCUAAAUGGGAUGAUGGAAUUGAAAAAAAAAAAAAAAAUCGAAAGCAAGAUGGAAGAAAUUAAUGACAGUAAGCAACAUUGUCUCUAAAAUAGACAGGAGGAAAAGAUUAAAUUUUUAGGUAAUGUAUGAUGCUUUAGUUUAUAAAAUCUUUGUGCAUGUGUCUGUCUCUUCUGGUUAGAUAUAAGAACUCAACAACAUAAGGAGAAUGAUGAAGGUGGACAAGGAGCUGAAUGAAUUGACAAUCACAUCACAUUUAUUUUGUUCUUUGGAGCUCAAAUAGUAGAACUCUAAUGUUAUCUUAUGCAUCAGUUGACUAAUUCAAAUUAUGUGACAGUGAUCUGGUGCACCUUUAGCUUUGGCCUAACUUUUGAAAGACAUUGUAUAUAAGGCAUUAAAUUGUGUUAGGUUUUGCUGUGCUAUUUUCCCUUUUGCAUGAUUGGUUAAAGAAUACACCAACUCACCAUGGUCCACUGCUAUGUUUCUGUAGGU